CGAGAUUAGGGUUCCUGAAGCUGAGGCACUAUCUUCCCAAAAGAAUACAAAUCUCUUUGAAGUUUUCGUAGUUCUCUGAAUCAUGGAGAUGGAACGCGUCUUCGAAUUUCCUCACACUUACAUGGAUCGUCGCCCGAGAAAGAGAGCGAGAUUGGGCUGGGACAUCCCUGAAGUUCCCAAGGCUCAGGUAGGAUUGUUUUGUGGACAAGAUGUUGGGACUAUUUCAAGCUUUGCUCCUUCAAGGGGUCCCUCAGAACAUACCACUAGUUCUCUAUUUGUUAAGCCAGUUGCUCGAAAUGGUUCUCCCCCUUGGCGAGAUGAUGACAAAGAUGGGCAUUACAUGUUUACGCUUGGAGAAAAUUUAACUUCUCGCUAUAAGAUCCAUACCAAAAUGGGUGAAGGAACUUUUGGGCAGGUCUUAGAAUGCUGGGAUAGAGAAAGGAAGGAAAUGGUUGCCGUAAAAAUUGUCCGUGGUAUAAAGAAGUAUCGAGAAGCAGCCAUGAUAGAAAUUGAGGUGUUGCAACAGCUUGGUAAACAUGAUAAAGGAGGCAAUCGUUGUGUGCAAAUACGGAACUGGUUUGACUAUCGUAAUCAUAUCUGUAUUGUGUUUGAGAAACUUGGACCAAGCUUAUACGAUUUUCUUCGGAAAAACAAUUAUCGCUCAUUUCCCAUUGAUCUUGUCCGUGAGAUUGGCAAACAACUAUUGGAAUGUAUAGCAUUCAUGCAUGAUUUGCGCAUGAUUCAUACUGACCUGAAGCCUGAAAACAUACUACUAGUUUCACCCGAGUAUGUCAAAGUUCCUGACUACAAGAGUUCAUCUAGAUCAUCAUGUUCCUAUUUCAAGAGAGUUCCCAAAUCAAGUGCUAUAAAGGUUAUUGAUUUUGGCAGCACCACUUAUGAGCGAGAAGAUCAGAACUACAUUGUAUCAACUCGUCAUUAUAGGGCUCCUGAAGUUAUCCUUGGACUUGGCUGGAGCUAUCCAUGUGAUAUAUGGAGUGUGGGAUGUAUAUUGGUUGAAUUAUGCACAGGUGAAGCUUUGUUUCAGACUCAUGAAAAUUUAGAGCAUCUUGCAAUGAUGGAAAGGGUACUUGGUUCAUUACCACAGACCAUGAUGAAGAGAGUCGACCGACAUGCUGAGAAGUAUGUUAGAAGGGGUAGAUUAGACUGGCCUGAGGGUGCAACCUCGAGGGAGAGUAUCAAAGCUGUAAUGAAGCUUCCUAGGCUUCAGAACCUUGUAAUGCAGCAUGUAGAUCAUUCAGCUGGCGAUCUCAUACAUCUCUUGCAGGGGUUACUUAGAUAUGACCCCUCUGAAAGACUUACAGCCAAGGAAGCUCUUAGACAUUCCUUCUUUAUGAGAGAACACUUUAGAAGAUGAUUCACUUUCUUAACUGCUGCAUCAUUGACCUUCCUAAGGAUUUGAAGAUGUGGGCAAAUGAACUCACCUGUGUGAUGGCUAGUUUUUCUGCAGCUGUCCUCUCCCCAAUGCUAUGCUGAAAAAUCCUUAUGUAGGAAUUUUUGAAUGGAUCUGGAUUCGAUGUACAGAAGAAAAAAAAAAUGCUAAUGUUAUGGUGAAAAUUGUAGAUUUUACGGGCAUGAUUCAUAUGGCAUCCUGAGCUUUGUGUGCACGAGUAUAAGUCUCCAUUCGAGUGUACCGCACACACAUGAUAUAUUAGACACGAUUGACAAGUCACGGGAAGCUUCUAUUCAUAGCAGAGAUAUGGCAGCGACGCAAGAGCGGGAAGCUUCCAUGAUGAGGCAAUGUAUUUAGCAGACCUCAGCUGUUGCUAUAAUGGGGGAGGCAUCGCAGCAAUAUGAUGCGAUAAUAGCACAAAACCAAUCAUAACUAAUAAGAAAAGAAUAUCAAAUCUUUGGCAUUGCAUUUGGUGAAUAUGGGAGAAAGUUGAGACUAAUUUAGUUCGCAGGUGGACAGUGUUGACAAAAUAAGUUAUAGUCUGACCUCGGGCUGCAAAAUAGAGAGGUCUUUUAAACCUUUUUUGCCUCUUAGCAACUGGUCAACUUCAUGAGUAUCAACAAGAUAAGGUCCUUAAUAAUUUUGUGCUGCAAAAUGGAGAUUGGGAUUUUCAAAGCUUUGAUAAUUGUCUUCUCAUUCUAGUUUGCAACCAAAUCCAUGGAGAUUGGGAUUUUCAAAGCUUUGAUAAUUGUCUUCUCAUUCUAGUUUGCAACCAAAUCCAAGCUAUGGUGCUUUCCUCUCUGUUACUUGAUGAAGAUCGUUUGGCUUGGAGAUGAUCAAAUGAUGGGAUCCCAACUAUAUAUGAUCGAGAAAUUGCUCGUUCAACUCUUACCAACUAUAAAGAAGGAGCAAUUUCUCGAUCAUAUAUACCUGGAGUGGUCCCAAUGAUGAAAUUGUUGCUUUGGAAAAUUGCUAAAAUCUCCCAAUGAUGAAUCGUGCCCUAUAUGCUAAUGUACUGUGGAAGAACUUCAAUUCGUGCUAUAAUAUAUGGCAUGCUGGCCAAAGAAGUGUGAACCUCACUCCUUGAGAAUAAUUCAGAUGCUGACAUUUUCGUGAAUCUUAUGGACCUUUGGUUACAAUCAAAUUUAUUGAAGGAUAGUCAGUGGAGUUUAAUUUUGGGAUUAACAUCUCCAGCAUGAAGUUUGUUGAACAUUUGCACGUAGUCCAAUAACGG